CAAUCUGCCCAUCGGCCUGGGAUAACAGUUGGAAACGACUGCUAAUACCGGAUAGGUGAUGAAGAGGCAUCUCUUGAUCAUUAAAGUUGGGAUACAACACGGAUGGAUGAGCUUAUGGCGUAUUAGCUGGUAGGUGAGGUAACGGCUCACCUAGGCGAUGAUACGUAGCCGACCUGAGAGGGUGACCGGCCACAUUGGGACUGAGACACGGCCCAA
rnacentral:rRNA from 1 species